GAAACCGGGCUCAGUGUCCACCUGUCCUCGCUGAUCCAUGGAUUUCUGUGUGACCAGGUUACACCUAUGGAGCCGUGGCCCCGACUACCAACACUUUGGGGCACAACCUGAAGACCCUCACAGUCA